GGCGGCGUAGUUCCGUUGGUUAGAGCAUUGGAAUCAGAAUCCAAAGGUCCUGGGUUCAAAUCCCUCUGCCGCUACCA
rnacentral:tRNA from 1 species